ensembl:lncRNA
GUGUAAGUUACAAGCUCAAUCAAUGGAAGCUGGCCAGGAGAAAAGGUCCUUCAGGUGCAGGAAUCAGAUGCAAUGAUGAUGAAGAGGCUCGCAGAACCAUCAUCUGCUUCUUUGGACACACUGGUUGAUGAUCCCUGAUUCUCAGAGGUACAUCGUGGUGAAUUGGUCAAGUGGACUUUUACCUUGCAUGGCCCUGUACAAAGCCGUAUGACCAUCUGCCUGCACUCUGAGCCGAGGUAGCAUGAGGAUAGACAGAGGCAUGAGGCUAUGGUUACUUGAACUCCAUAUGCCACAUGAAAAUUGGUAACAAAUUACUCGACUCUCUCAGCGGGCAUAAUUUUGGAGGGCCUGUGGGGAGGAGAGAGAGGAAACUCCCAUUACAGGGGAAACAGUUGUUCCUUUCCCAUGAGAGAAACAUCCAUCAGAG